rnacentral:lncRNA from 1 species
UUGUCAUUUCACAUGGAGCACCAAUCUGCAAUUAGCUGUGGAAUAUAUUCACAUUGUUGUAUUCUAAAGCAUUUAGUGAUUUCUACUUUGACUGAAUUCUUCAUGUUUCUGUCUCUUGAUUAUAGCUUUCUUGAUUCCUUGAGUUCUAUGUGGGUGUCACACGGAGGAUACGGACUGCAAAAGCUGUUGUGAGAUUAUGAGGUACUGCUUGGUUGUUACUGUGCAGAUAACCUAUGAUUGUAAUGUGGGAUAAAACUUGGUCAUUAUUAUAAUGUACUUUUUAUGGACCGGAAUAGUUGUCUUUUGAUGGUGUGAUGUGGUAGUAUAUGAUUCUGGUGUACAUCUCUUAGCUUGGUUAUUAUGUGAGUUUUAUGAUAUACUUGGUUCACAGAUCAUAAUUUUGUCAAAUUGUUUUGUAUUACUUUUCUCGGGAUUUGAUCUGGCUUUUUGAGUUUUCUGUGUGGUUGUUAGAUGUAGUUGUCAUUUCCUUUGAGAUAACAUACUUUCAUUUGAUUCAGCCUUGGAGUCUGUCAUGUUUUUACUUAUAUAUGUUAUGUCAUGCUGGUCUUGGUGAUUUUAUGUUUCUGCAUCAGGAACAUGAAAACUGUAGCAUACAAGAUUCUAAAAUACUCCGUAUAUCUGUUCUCUGGAUAAGGAAUUCUGGAUCCAUCUGGUAUACAUAGGAAGCCUAUAUUUUUUACUGAAUUUGCAACUGGUUGUGACAUAUGUUCUCAUUGUUGUUAUGCUUUCAUUUGGUGAUCUCUACCUUGACUAUGAAUUUUUCAUGUUUUUUUGUCUUUUAUGAGGAUCUAGUUUUUGCGAUUCUUUUGUAAGAUCCAUGUGGGAGUUACCGGGGAGAUAGCCUAUGAAUGUACUGUGGGAAUGUCAAAGCUUUGGUGGACACUAUCAAGGGCAUUCUUCUGGCCUCACGUUAAAAAAGAUAAUUGUUCUGGAAUAGUUAGUGUCUAAUGGCACGGUGUGAUCUGCCAUAUUACUGUGUAGUAGUGUUUUUCAAGAACUAGUUUUUCAGCAUGGUGCCUCAAGAUUUGAUUUUUCUGAUCUCUGUUGAUUUCUUUUCCUUUUAAUAUUUCCUUUCUGUGAUUCAGAGUCUAGUGUUUUUGUGAUGCAGAAUAAAAUCUUUGAACGUGUCUAGAUUAUUUCUGGUUCAAGCUUUCUCAUGUUUGUUCUUCAUGUUUGUAAUCUAUCUGGCUUGUGGUUUUGGCUUCUUUCUUGCUUCAGAAGUUUUCUUGUUAUUGAAGUGAUUUGAUUGCUUUCCUUCAUUCUGUUUUCAACAUCGGAAUUUGUUGUACCUUCAAUAAAUUACUUCUUAUUCUGGCUUACCAAUAAAACUUUGUUCUGAAUCAACAGGAAAGAUUGAAAGUUGAAUUUGUGAAAAGCUUUGUCAUUCGUUACUGAAAUAAGCAGCCUCGAGAGUUCAUACUUGUGGACAGUGCGUCCAAAUUGUUCGUCAUGGCCUAUUUCCCUGUUGGAAUAAUUAAUAUUUGGUGAUGUCUGUGCAUGCCUAAAACAACUAAUUCUUCAACUCCGUAAUUGGGAUGAG